rnacentral:rRNA from 1 species
AGAGUUUGAUCCUGGCUCAGGACGAACGCUGGCGGCAUGCCUAAUACAUGCAAGUCGAACGCUUCUACUCGGUGCUUGCAUCGAACUAGAAGAGUGGCGGAUGGGUGAGUAACACGUGGGAAACCUACCUGUAAGUAUGGGAUAACAUUCGGAAACGGAUGCUAAUACCAUAUAAAUUUUUGUUCCGCAUGGAACUUAAAGAAAAGACGGCUCUGCUGUCGCUUACAGAUGGUCCCGCGCCGCAUUAGCUAGUUGGUGGGAUAAAAGCCUACCAAGGCCAUGAUGCGUAGCCGACCUGAGAGGGUAACCGGCCACACUGGGACUGAGACACGGCCCAGACUCCUACGGGAGGCAGCAGUAGGGAAUCUUCCGCAAUGGACGAAAGUCUGACGGAGCAAUGCCGCGUGAGUGAAGAAGGUCUUCGGUUCGUAAAACUCUGUUGUUAGAGAAGAACAGGGAUAGGAGUAACUAUCUAUCCUUUGACGGUAUCUAACCAGAAAGCCACGGCUAACUACGUGCCAGCAGCCGCGGUAAUACGUAGGUGGCAAGCGUUGUCCGGAUUUAUUGGGCGUAAAGGGAGCGCAGGCGGUUUCUUAAGUCUGAUGUGAAAGCCCACGGCUCAACCGUGGAAGGUCAUUGGAAACUGAGGAACUUGAGUACAGAAGAGGAAAGUGGAAUUCCAUGUGUAGCGGUGAAAUGC